rnacentral:lncRNA from 1 species
GAAGACAUCACUUCCUUGAAGACUUGGCUCACUAUAAGCCUCCUGGCGGCUCCUUCCUGGGGCACUGGGCCAAACUCCUGACACGAUUAAGAAGAGGUUUUGGAACUGGGCCAGACUAGGAAAACAGGAAAGAUGACGAACAAAGCUUCCCUCCUUCUGAGGGUUGUUUAUUCCAGUGUUCCUUCAGUUGAGUUUUCUGGGUACACAGCAGCCCUUGGCUUUCCAUCCCAUGUGCAGCCUCUGGCCCAGCACUUAGUCCACUCUCAGUCAUAGAGCUUAUCACACAGACUUGCUCCAGUGCCCACUUGUCCAACUGCCCCAAACUCCUGGAAACCAGAAAGAACACAGAUGUAUCUCAACUGAGUGCCUACCAUAUUUCUACAGGAGGAACUGUCUUCGCAUAAAAGCCCCUCUGCAGCUCCUUAAGAUCCUACUGAUGCUUCAAUUGCCUCAUCUUUGGUCAACAAGAGCCUCUUCAAGACAUUGGCUUCUGAGCCCUUUUGACAUGACACUAUAGCUUUAUUGCUUUCUGGAAUGAAAAAGUCUUCUUGGUUCAUCUUGUAUAUUUUUUGCUCCAGACCUUGAAUCAGCUAUUUCUCCUAGGAGCCCUGGUUCUUUUGUGGGAAAUGAGUCUGAACAUCCAUAUUCGAGAGCAUGUUCUUGCCUACAUGUGAAUGGCAAGGCUGGAACGGAAGGCGGCAGACGUGUCCAGGGCAGCACUGAUGGCCGGACUGACCCCACCUCCCCCCAUCGUCCAUACUUAGAGCCAGCGGCCACUGCAAGUGUAAUUAGUCAAUAAAUCAUCCCGAGUGAUAAAUAGAAUGAUAGAUGCAGGUUUCACUUGAUCACUUUUUUAUUAAGGAGAAAUAAAUCAGCACCACAUUGUUGCUAUAAACCUUUCAAACUGGUCAGAUCCUGGCUGGUAGGAGCUGAUUAACAUGGCCACGUGUAGAGACCAUUUGUAGCUGAUCAUUGAGAUCAAUCAAUCCCUGUCAAGUUCCCUUCUUAGAAGAGGUGGCAGAAGCCAGGUGCUGUUCCACCAUCCACUGCUCCUGUGGCUUCUUGCCGCAGGGGCAAUGGGGAGAGUGUGAGCGUGCUUUGGUGCCAGACAGCCCAGAUUUGAAUCCCAGCUGAGCCACCAACCAGCUGUGUAACCCCGGCUAGCUGUCAUCCCCUCUCUUGGCCUCAGCUUCCUCUUCCCGAACAAGAGCGUGACACCAGGAACUUCCUUAGAGAGUUUUUCUGAGCAUUGUGGUGUCAAACUUCUUGGUUUCAGGACCCUAUUAUGUGCCUAAAAAUUGUCAAAG